rfam:Nicotiana sylvestris Nsyl_contig76929, whole genome shotgun sequence.
UGACCCUAGGUCAGGCGGGACUAACCACUAAGUUUAAGCAUAUGAAUAAGAAAAGGAAAAGAAACUUACAAGGAUUCCCCUAGUAACAUAGAGCGAACCGGGAACAUCCCAGCCUUAGAAUCGGGCGGCUCCGUCAUCCGAAUUAUAGUCUAGAGAAGCGUCCUCAGCGACGGACUGGGCCCAAGUCCCCUGGAAGGGGGUGCCAGAGAGGGUAAGAUCCCCGUUGUGCCCGGACCCUGUCGCACCACGAGGCGCUGUCUAUGAGUCGGGUUGUUUGGGAAUGCAGCCCAAAUCGGGCGGCGAAUUUCGUCCAAGGCUAAAUAAGGGCGAGAGACCGAUAGCGAACAAGUACCAUGAGGGAAAGAUGAAAAGGACUUUGAAAAGAGAGUCAAAGAGUGCUUGAAAUUGUCGGGAGGGAAGCGGAUGGGGGCUGGCGAUGCACCCCAGUCGGAUAUGGAACGGUGUUGAGCAGAUCCGCUGAUCGACUCGGGGCGUGGACCAGCAUGGAUUGGGGGGCAAAGACCGGGCUUUUGAUAUGCUCGUGGAAUGCCGUCUCUUUGAUUGUGGUAGGUAGCGCGUGCCUCUGGCGUGCUUCGGCAUUUGCGCGCUCCAGACGCUGGCCUGUGGGCUCCCCAUUCGACCUGUCUUGAAACAUGGACCAAGGAGUCUAACAUGUGUGCGAGUCAAGGGGCGAGUAAACUCGUAAGGUGUAAGGAAGCUAAUUGGUGGGAUCCCCCUGAGGGGUGCACCACCGACCGACCUUGAUCUUCUGUGAAAGGUUCGAUUGUGAGCAUACAUGUCGGGACCCGAAAGAUGGUGAACUAUGCUUGAGUGGGGCGAAGCCAGAGGAAACUCUGGUGGAGGCCCGUAGCGAUACUGAUGUGCAAAUCCUUCGUCUGACUUGGGUAUAGGGGCAAAAGACUAAUCGAACCAUCUAGUAGCUGGUUCCCUCCAAAGUUUCCCUUAGGAUAGCUGGAGCUCGCGUGCGAGUUUUAUUGGGUAAAGCCAAUGAUUAAAGGCAUCGGGAGUGCAACACCCUCGACCUAUUCUCAAACUUUAAAUAGGUAGGAUAGUGCGACUGCUUUGUUGAUCCACGCCACAGAAUCAAGAGCUCCAAGUGGGCCAUUUUUGGUAAGCAGAACUGGCGAUGCGGGAUACCGGAAGCCUUAUUAUGGUGCCAAACUGCGCGCUAACCUAGAUCUCACAAGGGAUAUUGGUUGAUUAAGACAGCAGGACGGUGGUCAUAGAAGUCGAAAUCCGCUAAGGAGUAUGUAACAACUCACCUGCUGAAUCAACUAGCCCCAAAAAUGGAUAGCUCUUAAACACACGACCUAUACCCGGCCAUCGGGGCAAGUUCCAGGCCUCGAUGAGUAGGAGGGCAUGACGGUCGCUACAAAACCUUAGGCGUGAGCUUGGGUGAAGCAAUCGUCGGUGUNCGGCGGUCGCUGCAAAACCUUGGGCGUGAGCCUGGGCGGAGCGGCCGUCGGUGCAGAUCUUGGUGGUAGUAGCAAAUAUUCAAAUGAGAACUUUGAAGGCCGAAGAGGGGAAAGGUUCCAUGUGAACGACACUUGCACAUGGGUUAGUCGAUCCUAAGGGUUGGGGGAACCCCAACAGAUAGCACAUUUCGCACGUACUCCGAAAGGGAAUCGAGUUAAAUUCCUGAACCGGGACGUGGCGGUUGACAACAACGUUAGGAAGUCCGGAGACUUCGACGGGGGCCUCGAGAAGAGUUAUCUUUUUCUGUUUAAUAGCCUGCCCACCCUAGAAACGACUCAGUCGGAGGUAGGGUCCAGCGACUGGAAGAGCACCGCACGUCGCGUGGUGUCCGAUGCUCCCCCGGCGGACCUUGAAAAUCCGGAGGACCGAGUGUCGUCCAUGCCCGGUCGUACUAAUAACCGCAUCAGUCUCCAAGGUGAACAACCUCUGGUCGAUAGAAUAAUGUAGGCAAAGGAAGUCGGAAAAAUGGAUCCCUAACUUCAGGAAAAGGAUUAGAUCUGAGGGAUGGGCACGGGGGUCCCAGUCCCGAACCCGUCGGCUGUCGAUGAACUACUCGGGUUGUUUCCACAGCGAGAGCGAGUCACCGCGUGCCGGUCGGGGGGCGAACUAGGAACGGUUCCUUCGGGGGCCUUCCCCUANUCGAACAGCCAACUCAGAACUGGUACGGACAAGGGGAAUCCGACUGUUUAAUUAAAACAAAGCAUUGCGAUGGUCCCUACGGAUGUUUACGCAAUGUGACUUCUGCCCAGUACUCUGAAGUUCAAAGUGAAGAAAUUCAAUCAAGUGAGGGUAAACGGCGGGAGUAACUAUAAUUCUCUUAAGGUAGACAAAUGCCUUGUCAUCUAAUUAGUGACACGCAUGAAUGGAUUAAUGAGAUUCCUAUUGUCCCCGUCUACUAUCCAGCGAAACCACAACCAAGGGAACAUGCUUGGCAGAAUCAGCGGGGAAAGAAGACCCUGUUGAGCUCGACUCUAGUCCGACUUUGUGAAAUGACUUGAGAGGUAUAGUAUAAGUGGGAGUCGAAAGGCGAAAGUAAAAUACCACUAAUUUUAACGUUAUUUUACUUAUUCCGUGAAUCAGAAGAGGGGUACUGCCCCUCUUUUUGGACCCAAGGCUUGCUUGCAGGUCGAUCCAGGCGGAAGACAUUGUCAGGCGGGGAGUUUGGCUGGGGCGGAACAUCUGUUAAAAGAUAACGCAGGUGUCCUAAGAUGAGCUCAACGAGAAUAGAAAUCUCGUGUGGAACAGAAGGGUAAAAGCUCAUUUGUUUCUGAUUUCCAGUACGAAUACAAACCGUGAAAGUGUGGCCUAACGAUCCUUUAGACCUUCAGAAUUCGAAGCUAGAGGUGUCAAAAAAGUUACCAUAGGGAUAAUUGGUUUGUGGCAGCCAAGCGUUCAUAGUGAUGUUGCUUUUUUAUCCUUCGAUGCCGGCUCUUCCUAUCAUUGUGAAGUAGAAUUCACCAAGUGUUGGAUUGUUCACCCACCAAUAGAGAACGUGAGCUGGGUUUAGACCGUGUAUAUAUAUAUAUAUACACACAUACACACACUCUAUCUGAAGUCCCUUUCUCAAAAAAAAAUAAACAAUCUUGAAUUCUAUCAUCCUCUCUACUAGGGGCAUACAUGAGUGGGGUCGGUUUGGUUUUUAUCAAAAUCAAAUCAAACCAACUAUCAGUUUGAAUUUGGUUCAGUUUUGUCUGUUUUUUUUUUUGGUUUUUCAGAUUUUUUUGUUACAUGAAUAUUAUUCAAGCUUACUUUAUUAAAGUUAUAAAUAAAGUUUUGAUAAGUGAAUAUAUUAGUAAAAAUUUAAAAAAUAUAUAAUCUACUAAAAUAUUCUUAUGAGAGAAUAUAUUUUAGUAACACAUGAUAGUUAUUUUUUUAGUCGUUUAACAAUAAUUUUUUGUUGAUAUACGCUUUCAUGGUUAACUGAAUUAAAUAAUUAAACACAAAAAUCA